rnacentral:tRNA from 1 species
CAGGGAGACAACAAAAUGUUUAAUAUUAUUAUUUUGUCACCUUAGGUCGAUCGGUAUCUCACGUUCUUAAUUUAUUAAGAAUUUCAUUUCCUAAGUUUUUCUAGGUCACACCCAUUAUUUUUCCUGGGCCAUUAGCUCAGGUGGUUAGAGCGCACCCCUGAUAAGGGUGAGGUCCCUGGUUCAAGUCCAGGAUGGCCCAUAUCUCUAUGUUGGGGGUAUAGCUCAGUUGGUAGAGCGCCUGCUUUGCAAGCAGGAUGUCAGCGGUUCGAGUCCGCUUACCUCCACUGAUUACCACCUCUUCCAUAACCGGUAGUAAAGGAAAUGUUUUGAGUUGUGAUCAAAUUCUGAAAGAAUCUAGCUUCCUAAUGAAUUCAUUAAGAUGCUGGACUCAUUGAAUUAAUUUCAUUGUUUUCAGAGAACCUUGACAACUGCAUAGAUUAUUUUUAAAGACAAUAAGCAUCUUUAAUGAUGCAGAUUUAUUAUUUGUGCGAAUGCAUUAAUAACAAUUCUAUUAAGCUGAUGCUUCAAUUUUUGAAGUUAUU